UAAUACGUAGGGUACAAGCGUUAAUCGGAAUUACUGGGCGUAAAGCGUGUGUAGGCGGUUCGGAAAGAAAGAUGUGAAAUCCCAGGGCUCAACCUUGGAACUGCAUUUUUAACUGCCGAGCUAGAGUAUGUCAGAGGGGGGUAGAAUUCCACGUGUAGCAGUGAAAUGCGUAGAUAUGUGGAGGAAUACCGAUGGCGAAGGCAGCCCCCUGGGAUAAUACUGACGCUCAGACACGAAAGCGUGGGGAGCAAACAGGAUUAGGUACCCUAGUAGUCCACGCCCUAAACGAUGUCAACUAGCUGUUGGGGCCGUUAGGCCUUAGUAGCGCAGCUAACGCGUGAAGUUGACCGCCUGGGGAGUACGGUCGCAAGAUUA
rnacentral:rRNA from 1 species